GACGAACGCUGGCGGCGUGCUUAACACAUGCAAGUCGAACGGAAAGGCCCCUUCGGGGGUCCUCGAGUGGCGAACGGGUGAGUAACACGUGAGUAACCUGCCCUGACUUCGGGAUAACUUCAGGAAACUGGGGCUAAUACCGGAUAGGAAUCCUUGCUGCAUGGUGGGGGUUGGAAAGCUUCGGCGGUUUUGGAUGGACUCGCGGCUUAUCAGCUUGUUGGUGGGGUAGUGGCUUACCAAGGCUUUGACGGGUAGCCGGCCUGAGAGGGCGACCGGCCACAUUGGGACUGAGAUACGGCCCAGACUCCUACGGGAGGCAGCAGUGGGGAAUAUUGCACAAUGGGCGGAAGCCUGAUGCAGCAACGCCGCGUGCGGGAUGACGGCCUUCGGGUUGUAAACCGCUUUCAGCAGGGGCGAAGCUUGUGGUGACGGUACCUGCAGAAGAAGCACCGGCUAACUACGUG
rnacentral:rRNA from 1 species